CGCUACCCCGGCUGGCUCUCCGAGUGCUAGCUCUACUUUAAGUAGAAGUACUUCUGCUUGAAGUAGAGCUAGCACUUGGGGAGCCGGCCGGGGUAGAGGGAUUUUUUUUAUUUUUUUUUUCAA